rnacentral:ncRNA from 2 species
AAUUAACGCUAGGGGUGCCUUUGGCUGAGAAAUGAUUUAUCAUUAACCCUUAUACCUGAUCUGGUUAGUACCAGCGUAGGAAAGCUAUAUUUGCCUAGU